UUAGGGGAGUGAAAUAGAACCUGAAACUGCAUGCCUACAAUCAGUCGAAGCUCUUUUUAGAGUGACGGCGUACCUUUUGUAUAAUGGGUCAGUGACUUAAUUUAUAAAGCAAGCUUAAGCCAUCUAGGUGUAGGCGCAGCGAAAGCAAGUCUUAAUAGGGCGAUUAGUUUUAUGAAUUAGACCCGAAAACGAAUGAGCUUACCAUGAGCAGGUUGAAAGUUGGGUAACACCAACCGGAGGACCGAACCAGUUGACGUUGAAAAGUCUUUGGAUGACUUGUGGUAAGGGGUGAAAGGCCAACCAAAUUCGUAGAUAGCUGGUUUUCCGCGAAAACUAUUUAGGUAGUGCGAUGAAUAAAUAGAUGCUUAGAGGUAGAGCACUAAAUGGGCUAGGGGGAAGAGAUUCUUACCAAACCUAAUAAAACUCCGAAUGCUAAGUAUUGUUCUUCAUCAGACAGACUGUGGGUGCUAAGGUCCAUGGUCGAGAGGGAAAGAGCCCAGACCACCAGAUAAGGUCCCAAAAUUAUGAUUAAGUGUGAAAGGAUGUGGAAAUUCCUUAACAGCCGGGAGGUUGGCUUAGAAGCAGCCAUCCUUUAAAGAUAGCGUAACAGCUCACCGGUCUAAUAGAGUUUCUGCGCCGAAGAUGUAACGGGGCUAAAAUCAUAUACCGAAUCUGUGGGUUUAUAAAAUUUUCGAAUUUUAUAAGCGGUAGCGGAACGUUCUGUAAGCCUGUGAAGGGAUACCCGUGAGGGAUCCUGGAGGUAUCAGAAGUGCGAAUGCUGACAUAAGUAACGAUAAAAGAAGUGAAAAACUUCUUCGCCGAAAAUCCAAGGGUUUCUGCGCAAGGUUAAUCCGCGCAGAGUUAGUCGGCACCUAAGGCGAGGGCGAAAGCCGUAGUCGAUGGAAAUAAGGUUAAUAUUCCUUAACCAGAUGGUAGUGACGGAUCUUGUAAGUUGUGAGUUCUUAAUGGAUUGAACUUGCCGCGAAAAGGUUCCAAGAAAUAGCUCCAUCAUUAGACCGUACCCUAAACCGACACAGGUGGAUUAAUAGAGUAUAUUUAGGCGCUUGAGAGAAUGAUGUUGAAGGAACUCGGCAAAAUGCUUCCGUAACUUCGGGAUAAGGAAGACCUGUUUUUAGGCAACUAGAGAUGGGUGGCACAAGCCAGGGAGAAGCGACUGUUUAUCAAAAACACAGGGCUCUGCUAACACGUAAGUGGAUGUAUAGGGUCUGACGCCUGCCCGGUGCUGGAAGGUUAAUGCGGUUGGUGCAAGCUAACUUCUGAAGCCCCAGUAAACGGCGGCCGUAACUAUAACGGUCCUAAGGUAGCGAAAUUCCUUGUCGGGUAAGUUCCGACCUGCAUGAAUGGCGUAACGAUUUCUCCGCUGUCUCCAACAUCAACUCAGUGAAAUUGAAUUCUCCGUGAAGAUGCGGAGUUCGCGUAGUUAGACGGAAAGACCCCGUGCACCUUUACUGCAACUUUACAUUGGUAUUAGGAAAAACAUAUUUAGCAUAGGAGGGAGACAUUGAAGCAAAGGCGUCAGCUUUUGUGGAGUCACCAGUGAAAUACCUCUU
rnacentral:rRNA from 1 species